AUUGAACGCUGGCGGCAGGCUUAACACAUGCAAGUCGAGCGGAGAUGAGGUGCUUGCACCUUAUCUUAGCGGCGGACGGGUGAGUAAUGCUUAGGAAUCUGCCUAUUAGUGGGGGACAACAUUCCGAAAGGAAUGCUAAUACCGCAUACGUCCUACGGGAGAAAGCAGGGGAUCUUCGGACCUUGCGCUAAUAGAUGAGCCUAAGUCGGAUGAGCUAGUUGGUGGGGUAAAGGCCUACCAAGGCGACGAUCUGUAGCGGGUCUGAGAGGAUGAACCGCCACCCUGGGACUGAGACACGGCCCAGACUCCUACGGGAGGCAGCAGUGGGGAAUAUUGGACAAUGGGGGGAACCCUGAUCCAGCCAUGCCGCGUGUGUGAAGAAGGCCUUUUGGUUGUAAAGCACUUUAAGCGAGGAGGAGGCUACCUGGAUUAAUACUCUAGGAUAGUGGACGUUACUCGCAGAAUAAGCACCGGCUAACUCUGUGCCAGCCGCCGCCGUAAAAC
rnacentral:rRNA from 1 species